UUGCUUCAGCACCAUAUAUACUAAAAUUGGAACAAUACAGAGAAGUUUAGCAUGACCCCUGUGCAAGGAUGACAUGCAGAUUCAUGAAGCGUUCCAUAUUUUU
rnacentral:snRNA from 1 species